rnacentral:lncRNA from 1 species
AUCAGAUGGCUAACAACUGACUUGGCCAGAUGCCUUGACAUAUAGGGUUGUUGUGUUUCUGUUCCUGGAAUCACUAAGCAGUGUUGUAAAAAUCACAGGGAAGCCAGUAAUAAGAUGUUGCCUUUGUACACAUGGCAGCUUGUGCACAUAUCCCUACUUCCCCUAGCCUGGCCAUGGUGUGCAAAGGCAUGUUCCACUGCCAGCCAGCCUCUGAUGUCCCCCAAUUCCAGCUUCCUUUCCUGUAAUCUGAAGUGUUGGGCUAAAGAUGUGCUCAGGGGAACAUUGUUCUUCGCCACAGCCUAUCUCUGAGCCCUCAGCUAGGUGUUUAAUUAGAAGCAAGGAUGGAGCUCUUCACUCCACGGGGCUAGAGAUCUAGACUGGAAGACACAAGGAGCAAGCAAGGGUUUUUCUUCCAGUUUCAGAUGCGGCACUGCAGAAUUCUCUCUGGAGUUCAUUUGUUUACUUCACAGUCUACGCUGUGAGAGUUGGAACUGGGUCUGUGUCCCCGAUACUGCAGGACCAGAUCCUAGAAGAGUGCGUGGUGUCGGAGGCAUUCAGCAAAUGCUUGAUGACUCAAUGGAUAAGCAUGAGGAUGGAGCAAGA